UAAGUAUUUUUAUUUACCUAUAUACAUAUAUUAUUUAUUUAUUUAGCUAUUUAUUUAUUUAUUUAUUAUUAUUAAUUUGUAGGUGAUCCUAUCCCUCACCAACUGCUGCAGUUGGAACUACGCCCAAUUUGGAUGUAGUUCCAACUGCAGCAUUUGGGCCUUCUUGUGUAGUUGGAACUGCAGCAGUUGAACUCAACUACACUAAACCAAACAAAAGAAUUGUUGUUGCACGCAUUUGCAACUGCACUUGCAGUGCGUACAACCAAACAGCCCCUAAAAUGUGACAUGUUAGCACUAUAGUA
rnacentral:lncRNA from 1 species